AUGCUUUGGUGUCCAAGAAAUCUCGCUUUGCCAGACCGUCCUUCACAACGCUGCGGAGGGGGGGGGUCUGGCUAGUCCACACAGCAUUCCGGGAUGGGACAAAAACCUGCUCUGGUCUAUCGGCAUGACUUUCGACCAAUCA